rnacentral:rRNA from 1 species
AGUCCUACGGGACGCAGCAGUAGGGAAUCUUCCACAAUGGACGAAAGUCUGAUGGAGCAACGCCGCGUGAGUGAAGAAGGGUUUCGGAUUGUAAACUGCUUUAGACAGGGAAGAAAAAAGACAGUACCUGUAGAAUAAGCUCCGGCUAACUACGUGCCAGCAGCCGCGGUAAUACGUAGGGAGCAAGCGUUAUCCGGAUUUAUUGGGUGUAAAGGGUGCGUAGACGGGAAUGCAAGUUGGUUGUGAAAUCCCUCGGCUUAACUGAGGAACUGCAACCAAAACUACAUUUCUUGAGUGCUGGAGAG